rnacentral:rRNA from 1 species
UCUGUGAACUCCUACGGGAGGCAGCAGCCGCGGUAAUACGUAGGGUGCAAGCGUUAAUCGGAAUUACUGGGCGUAAAGCGUGCGCAGGCGGUUGUGUAAGUCAGAUGUGAAAUCCCCGGGCUCAACCUGGGAAUUGCAUUUGAGACUGCACGGCUAGAGUGUGUCAGAGGGGGGUAGAAUUCCACGUGUAGCAGUGAAAUGCGUAGAUAUGUGGAGGAAUACCGAUGGCGAAGGCAGCCCCCUGGGAUAACACUGACGCUCAUGCACGAAAGCGUGGGGAGCAAACAGGAUUAGAAACCCCGGUAGUCCAUCAGCG